ACCUGCGGAAGGAUCAUUGUCGUGACCCUAAACCAAAACAAACCGUGAACUUGUCAUCCAUGCUGCCGGGUGAUGGGUCUUGCACCCAUCGCUUGGUACAGGCCGACUACCUUCUAUAUAGAAGGUGGUGGUCCAAAAGAACCUACGGCGCCGUAUGGCGUCAAGGAAAACUAAUAUUGCUUUAACGGUGGUCACAUUUGGCAUGCCGUAUGUACCCCGUGCAGCGAUGCAUUGUUAAGUCACAUGACUCUCGGCAACGGAUAUCUUGGCUCUCGCAUCGAUGAAGAACGUAGCAAAAUGCGAUACCUGGUGUGAAUUGCAGAAUCCCGUGAACCAUCGAGUUUUUGAACGCAAGUUGCGCCCGAGGCCUUUUGGUCGAGGGCACGUCUGCCUGGGCGUCACGUCAAAAGACACUCCCCACCAUUUCAUGGUGUGGAUGUGGAUUUGGCUCCUCAUGCCUUAGGGCGUGGUGGACCGAAGAUGGAGCUGCCGGUUGUGCCGAUUGCAGCACAAGGUGGAUGACGAAUGUUGUUCUCACUGCUUUGAUCGAAACAGCUCCGGUGAUGCAAUGGCUCUCUGGACCCAUGGACUGAAGUGCAUUUUUAUCGAACUGCGACCCCAGGUCAGUCGGGACUACCCGCUGAAUUUAAGCAUAUCAAUAAGCGG
rnacentral:rRNA from 1 species